GACAGAGGGUGCAAACGUUGUUCGGAAUUACUGGGCGUAAAGCGUGUGUAGGCGGUCUCUUAAGUCGGAUGUGAAAGCCCCGGGCUCAACCCGGGAAGUGCACUCGAAACUGGGAGGCUAGAGUACUGGAGAGGUUGGUGGAAUUCUCGGUGUAGAGGUGAAAUUCGUAGAUAUUCGCAAGAACACCAGUGGCGAAGGCGGCUCACUGGCCCCGAUACUGACGCUGAGGCACGAAAGCGUGGGGAGCAAACAGG
rnacentral:rRNA from 1 species